rnacentral:rRNA from 1 species
UACAGAGGUCCCGAGCGUUGUUCGGAUUCACUGGGCGUAAAGGGUGCGUAGGUGGUGAGGUAAGUCGGAUGUGAAAGCUCCAAGCUCAACUUGGAAAUGGCAUUGGAAACUACCUUGCUAGAGGGUUUGAGGGGGGACUGGAAUACUUGGUGUAGCAGUGAGAUGCGUAGAUAUCAAGUGGAACACCAGUGGCGAAGGCGAGUCCCUGGAAAACUCCUGACACUGAGGCACGAAAGCUAGGGGAGCAAACAGG